rnacentral:rRNA from 1 species
GAAACCGGAGCUAAUACCGGAUAAUAUAUUGAACCGCAUGGUUCAAUAGUGAAAGACGGUUUUGCUGUCACUUAUAGAUGGAUCCGCGCCGCAUUAGCUAGUUGGUAAGGUAACGGCUUACCAAGGCAACGAUGCGUAGCCGACCUGAGAGGGUGAUCGGCCACACUGGAACUGAGACACGGUCCAG